rnacentral:rRNA from 1 species
ACAGCUGUAGGGUUCCUUGAGCCGCCGCCGCACCGGAGCUCCUCGACCAGCCCCACCUCAUGCCGCUCCACCCACUGCUUCUCCCUCCGCCCGCGCCGCUCUCUUCCCCGCCGGCGCUGCCCACCAUGAGCGGGGAGGCCCCAGAUCGUCUCGAGCAAGUCAGCGGGGCGGUGGCCAGAUCCACCACGGCAACAUCUCGUCCAGAUGGGUCGCGCCGGGAGAGGUAGAUCGAGGCGGCGGGCACCGUGUGCGUCUUGUCUCUUGGGACGCCGCUCCGACCCGAUCCGGCGAGGAGGCAGCCUCCGUCUGCGGCAACGAGGGCGGCGGCCGGCUGCGCGAGAGGUCGAUCUGAUUGUGCCUCCAUGAUGGCAUCGUGAUGCCCACCGCCGACGGCGCUGCGUCGCGACCAAAGGGGCACCCGGCCACGGCCGGGGACUCACUGCAGUUGAAGCACGCCAUCUCGCCACCAUGUAUGUUGUGUGUUCUUGUGCUGCAGGUCCUUGGGGUUGGGUGUUCUUGUCGCCACCAUGUUCAUGCAGGCACGAAUUGGACUGAGAAAUGCUAACAGAGGAGGAGAAGACCAUGCAAGUCCUUGGGGUUGGGUGCGGCAACUCGCGGCUCGAAGACAAUCUUUUGUGGUGGGGCGUCGCUGCCGCCGGCGGCACCUGCAUAGACCGUCUCGCUGGGAACGAAGAGAUGCUCCCCUGAUUUGGAGCUGUAGAAAGGAGGUGGUUGCAGACACAAAGUGGGGACACACAACUCCCAGUCAUAAUAUUCUUUAUCUUGGCUCGUUAUUUGGGGAUGGACGCAUCAAUCUGAUCGCGCUCUCCUCCAUGCCAAACGGAUCCUUGGUUCGGAGGUGCGCGGCGCCGACGAUGACAACCUUUCUAUUGACGCAAGGGCAGCAGGAGCUCAUGACGCUGUUGAUGCCACCACCAUGCACAGGGUUGAUGCAAGGUGGGACAAGUAUGUAUACCAGGCAAAGUACUCAAUCGGUUUGGCAUUUAGCUUUUUGAUUCUGUUUUUAGUGAGCUUUUUGAUUCAGAUAAUUUGUUUACCUGAUGCCUUCACUCCAGGUAAUCUGUCUGUCUGACAUUUUGCUUUUUGAUUCAGUGCGAUCACUAAUGGGGAGAACAUAAAACUUCAAUUGAGGGCACUGUGAUUCUCUAGCUACAUGUAUCAUGAGGGCGUCACCUGCGGCAUCACUUGCAUCGACCUCGCACCGAUCACCGUCCCGAGGAUGCACGACAGACUAGCGGAGCAGGGCACCAGUGAUUGUUUCACCAAUUUGCUCGACUCAUUGUUCCCUUCCUCUGUCCACGCAACGUUGCCCAUUGUUCCUAAGUUGUUAAUUCAUCAGGCCCAUUAUUGCGGCUACAUAGUCUGUUCAUCUUGCCUGCCUUCUUAGGAGAAACCAAUUUACUGAAGGUUGGCAAUUCCGAAGUUAUUGCCUUUCUACUUCAAACUGAAAUAAUUCCUCUUUGUCUUUAAUAUGGAGAUGGGCACUGAACUUUAAAAAGCAGUAUGAACUCAACCCCUUCUGUAAAUCAAAUAUUUCAUUUGCGGGGACGACGUGGGGCUCAUGUCGAGCACUUCACCUGCAAUGGGUGUGGCCUUCUCCGUCUGCCAAACAUGCUACAAGUACGAGCACCAUGAGGGAACUGCCUGGAGUGCAAGACCCGCCACAAGCUCCUCAAGGGUCAGUCAGCCUCCACCCACGGCCGAAGGCACUUGCAGAUGUGAAGAAUAUCCAUGUCCGAUUACAUCGCCAGAAAGCAAAAACCAUGAGAGCCCACACUAAUCAUCAAGGGAUUUUUGAAACGAGCAGAAGAUUAGUAACUUCUACGACAUCAAAGAUCUGACCUUUUAGAGUAUGCACCAUAUUGAUUUACUUAUUGAUUUAUUCACGCUAUAUCAGAUUUGUCUUGAACGUGAUACUUUAUUGACUGUACUGGACACGGGAAGUUAACUGUUUUAAUUAUAAAGGAUUAGUCUGCACCAAUUGCUGCAUAAGUUCUCCUUGAUACCAAUUUACAUACUUGUGCUACUAGGCCUUUGGUCAGUUUGCAACUGGUAUUUUAGACAUGUACGAGUAUUCUCAUGGUAUUUCUAUAUGUUUUAAUUAGUACCAGAUGGAAUUUGCGAAUUAGUCUUACAAAGAGAAGAGACAAGGAAACAUUAUUCACGAGUUUGCAGGAAUAUGGAAACUCAAGGUAGUCUGUUAGCAUAAGUAAAAAAUGUUUUUCAUUUUAUUUCUUGGUUCGACCAAAUUAUAUUUUAUCCGAACGUAUGGAUGAUCGACACAAUGGACGUACGUAGUUUCUGGUUAGCACUACUCAGAUAACAAUUAUGCCUACUAUUACCAUUUUUGUGCAUUGUUUGGUCUUAUGCAUUUUAGUUAAAUACAUCCUUUGUGACGAAUAAUGAUUUUUGAGCAUACUAUCUUCUUUUCAUGUGGGGAGAUCGCUGAUAGAAAAGAAAAUUGUGUUUAUGAUAUGUUAUGCUUAUUUCUAAGUGCUUCCAAUUUCGAACUACUAGGUAUGCAGCCUUAGAUGAACAACUACCUCUUUAUUUGCUUGAGGAUGAUUUGAUUGUGCAAUUAAGACUACAUAAUUUCACUUUUCAUUUAUAUUUAUUGGUGAGGGCGAGCUGGCGGCGGCAUGGCGCGCUGGUGCGAGUGACCGCGGGUUCGGCCAGGGUGCGAGCUGAUCUGGCAUGUGCGCUGGCGAAGUAAGGCGUAGAGGUGCUCCGGCCGGCUGGGUGCGUUGGUCCGUGGCGGAGGUGCGAGGUGGGCGUGGAUCUGGCGCCUAGCAUGCGCGAGGGAGGACAUAUGGGCGUUGUGCGUUUCUUCGCGGCGGGAGGUGUGACUGUGCUGCUCUGCAGAUUGAUGACGUUGUUCUCCUGGUUUCGUGGAUCUGCAGCGGGGUAGCCGGUGGUUGCGGCGCCAGAGAAUGCUGGGGCAGCGGCCUCGGGCUGAUGGCUGCUAUGGCAGGGGCUGCUGCACCGGCUCAGGAUGGUGGAUUUGGAGCGAUGCACUCAGAUCUGACCCUGGCAACCGCGUUGUUUCUAUGUCGCAUGAGUUGCUGCAGCUGGUCGUCGCGUGAGGGCUAUGCCGGCUGACGGCAGGGGGGUGCCCUACACAAUGUGCUUGGCUCUAAUGGUCUGGGUAUCGUUGCGUGACCAGAUUUGCAAGCAAGCUCACUGAUAGGAGAUCAGGGACUCGGGCGAAAGCUCCGUGACCUUCUUAGAGGCAUAGUCGUAGACAUCUUCCUAUCCUUUCAUGUGCUUGGGUUCUCCGGGUGAGAACCUAAACUCCAGUUUUCUGGAGUGGGUGGCGGCGGCGUUUACGUCGUAACCAUCUUCAGAGGCGUUGCCUUGGAGGGCCAGCCUUUGGAUGUCGUGUGGGGAUCUUUCGUUUUCAAGGGCGGUGUAUGUCGGGGCUGCAGCUCCGGGAUCUUCUAUUAAGUGUCGAGGCUGCGGCCUCGGGCAGUACUGCGAUGACAGCUCCAAGAGGUAGGGCUGCUUGUCGGCAUGGCUUGGGUGAGGACCUUGAAGUGCGGAAGCAGCAAGGUUGUCAGCUCCGUCAAUGCGCCCCAGUCGGGACUGUUGGACGACAUGUUGGGGCAGCGGCCCAGGAUGUGGUGCAGCGUUCGUGGUCUAUGUGCGGUUGGCCUGAGCAGCGUGAGUUGCGGGUAGCUGUAUCGUUCGGCGUAGUGCCGGCCAGGUUGUCGCUCAUCCAGGUUGCCGACCGGGAAGAGGUGUAGUGCCGGCCAAGACGAGAACAAGGGGAAGCUGCUUGGUUGUCUGUGUUCAUCAAAGGUGCUCUCUCUUUUCCAUCUUUCUUUUUAUUUACUUAAUCCUAGAUGGGUGACUACUAAUUUCCAUGUCUACUGGGAGGAAGAAGGUUGGCGGACGUAUCUUUGUGACUAUGUCAUUCACGUGCUUUGUUUCAACUCAUAAAGUGGAUCCUUUUUAAGCUAUAUCAAAUCAUAAGACAUAAUUUUCAGUUGAUUUUUUUCUUCUAAUUCCCAGAUUAUUGCUUCACAUAGACUAUUACAUAUUUAUGCUAGCCAAUUCGAAGCUUUGUCCCAAGGGCAAGCAUACCGUUGAAAAAAUAAAUACAUGUACGACAGAUCAGCCAACAACUUGUUGAUCUGUGAUUCUUUGAAAUUUGAUGCUUAUAACUGUUUAUAAGUCAGUAUUGUUCAGAGCCAAAGAUAAGUAACAAUCUAUUUGGUUAAGUUGAACACUUUCAGAUCAGGAGUAGUAGAAAUUCUUAAGGGCAUUGGGAUAUUGAACUGCAGAUAGCUUCGGCAGGUUUGUUAGGCUAAUAUAAAGUAGGGACCUUUGCUACAUAAUGAUACAAAGAUGAUACCGAAGGUUGUUUUGCAACUAGCAAGUUUCAAGGUCACAUGGAUGCUGACAGCUCUCAGGUGUAUGGCCUAUUUGUUGCUGGGUAUUGUUGCCUUUCUUCCUGGUUUAUACAGCGGAGGAUCCUGAGUUGAUGCAUAUAUUGGCUCAAAAAGUAACUAGGCUCUGAAGUGCAGAUUGACAAGAGAGUUUCUGCUGCUAUUUGUUAAAUCUUAAAGAAACGUCUGAUCCUGAGGUUUACAAGUCCCCUUGUUCAAAUAUGAAAAUGAUUUAUUUGCAAACUUCAAUGCAAAAUGGUUAGUCAGUCUCGAACAACUGCAUCUAUAUAUACUUUCUAGUUAUGCUAUUGAUGCCACAUCCAGAUUACACUUUUCUUCUCUUUUUCUUUUCUUGGGAGUAGAAAGGUCUCACUCAAGGAUCGAGCAAAUGCAGUUCUAAUGCUUGUGUCGUCUAAUUCAAAGCAUGAUGACUUUAAAUGUUCAUGAAAUAUUUCUCCUCUUAAAUCUAAAAAACUAAUAUACAUAGAAGCAUGAAAAUUAGAUUUACUGGAUUUAUUGGAUUCUAUUUGUUGCAUAAUUUAUUGCAUAUUAGACAUAACGAUGCCAAUCUAUUAUAUACAGUAUCUUUGAACUAGGUUAGAAGUUGGCAUUUCUAUCAUGCGAGCUUCAGAGAAGGAUUAAUCUGAUUGUCCUUUGAUGUUCUAGAGUUUAGUUUGUUGGUUGCUUCAGUUAUGGUGGUGUUAUUUGGAAUAAUAAUGUCUUCAGGUGCUUGUAACAUCGGUAGAAUGGUGGAAUUCUAGCAGUCAUUAGUUUCAGUUUGUGUAUAAGAAAUACCAUCAACCUAUUAUUAGUGAGCUUUGUAUUGUUUUUCUCCGUGUUUACACCUCUCUUGCUCCAAGCCUGGUGAUUCAAUUCUAACAGAGGAGCUUGCUACGGCCAUCCAGGGGGCCAGGGCGAUUAGAUGCCCAUCACUCACGGCGGCAAGAAGUUCCGUGUCGAGUUGAUGAACCAGCACCAGCUGGGAGCCCGGAUGAAGAAGGUUGUCCCGCGGAGAAAAAGGAGAAGUGAUGAGAUGUUUUUGACAGCUAAUGGAUGAUGUUAUCUUAGUCUGUGAAUUUUUGUUUUGGUCGAUUUAGAAACCUUGUUUGAUGUCUGAAGAUCCCUUUUUGCCCACUGUUCAAACCAUCUCUUCAUUUUUGUGUAAAUGGUAACAAUACACUUCAAACAAUUAAGUUGUCAUCCCAAAAAAUAUUUUGUAAAAGGAUGUACUUAUCGCCUCAAUAAUCCUUAAUCGUCA